AGGAGAAGAAGGGCCUGAUGGACCUCCAGGGGACAGAGGGAUUACUGGUGUCCCAGGUUUUCCUGGAGCAAAUGGUGUGGAUGGACAUGUUGGUGACAGAGGACUUCCGGGAACACUGGGAUCAUGCGGCACUAAAGGGACUCAGGGGGAAAAAGGUGUCCCUGGGACACAUGGGUUUGAUGGAACACCUGGACAACGUGUAAGUCUUUUAAACCGGUCAUUUCUUUACUAUAUAGGAAUAAUUAAUAAAUAAUUACAUAUUUAAUUUGAAAACUGAUGGGAGCAUGAGACACUGUGCCUUUUCUGCUCUCAGGGACGUAAAGGACAGAAAGGCAUGAAGGGGGAGCCGAUCUUCGCCGAUAUAUAUCUGGUUUGUUUGCUUCAAACAAUUUGACGUCAAGUCCUACCUUCCCAAAAAUCCCAAAAAUCUGUGGCUAAUAUUUAACAUUACUUUCCAACAGCGAGCUCCGGGUCCAGCUGGCCUUCCUGUAAGUUGAUGUUCAUCCUGUCUUCAUAGUAAAAGUCUAAAAAAAAAAAAACCCAAACAAACAUGUAUGAUAAAUGUAAUGCUUUAAGAAUUAUAAAGACACGGAAUGCAUUACAGCACAUAUAUACACAUAUGUACGUAUUGUUCAUUACUCUAUCACUUUACCGUGCUUUUAUUUUGUAUUGUGGAUUUCUUUAGGGAUUCCCCGGCAUCCUUGGUGUACCGGGAAUUCCAGGCUCAUAUGGCCCAGAAGGCUUAAGAGUAAGAUUAAUGUUUCGCAUUUCUUAUACAGGUGCGUCU